rnacentral:rRNA from 1 species
AGACCCACGGCGAACGGGUGAGUAAUACCUAGGAACAUCCCUCUAGUUGAGCAUAACCUGCCGAAAGGCAGGAUAAUACUCGAUGUGAUCGCAAGAUUAAAGUCGCAAGACGCUAGAGAAAUGGCCUGGGCACCAUCAGCUAGUUGGUAGGGUAAAGGCCUACCAAGGCUAUGACGGUUAGGGGCCCCGAGAGGGGAAGCCCCCACACUGGAACUGCGACACGGUCCAGACUCCUACGGGAGGCAGCAGUUUGGAAUUUUGGACAAUGGGCGAAAGCCUGAUCCAGCGACGCCGCGUGGACGAUGAAGGCCUUCGGGUUGUAAAGUCCUUUUGCAAGGGAAGAAUUUCAUGACGGUACCUUGCGAAUAAGAGGUUGCUAACUCUGUGCCAGCAGCAGCGGUAAUACAGAGACCUCAAGCGUUAUCCGGAAUCAUUGGGCGUAAAGCGUACCGAUAGGUGGUUAUACAAGUCAGAAGUGAAAUCUCCGAGCUCAACUCGGAAUCUGUCUUUUGAAACUGUAUGACUAGAGGGGCAAAGAGGAAGCUGGAACGAACGGUGUAGUAGUGAAAUGCGUUGAUAUCGUUCGGAACACCAAUAGCGUAGGCAGGCUUCUGGGUGCCACCUGACACUGCUAGGACGAAAGCGUGGGGAGCGAAUGGGAUUAGAUACCCCAGUAGUCCACGCUGUAAACGAUGAUAAUUAGGUGCUAGGGAGUAUCGACCCUCUUUAGUACCAUAGCUAACGCGUUAAAUUAUCCGCCUGGGGAGUACGGCCGCAAGGCUAAAACU